UUUUUUUUGAAAUUCAGGAGGUUCUGGGCCGAAGCCCGUAAUUCCUCCAGGCCCGAAACCACAGCAUGUAAUAUUAGUUUUUCUUUUAAAGUGUUGUGAUGCGAAAAUUUCAUAUUUGAGUCCAGGUUUUUAAGAGCUUGGGUUUUCCAUUAGUCCAUGUUAUGCCACAAAUAUUCAAAGAUUUUUU
rnacentral:sRNA from 1 species